GACGAACGCUGGCGGCAUGCCUAAUACAUGCAAGUCGAGCGAACAGAUGAAGUGCUUGCACUUCUGACGUUAGCGGCGAACGGGUGAGUAACACGUAAGGAAUCUACCUAUAAGCGGGGGAUAACAUUCGGAAACGGGUGCUAAUACCGCAUAAUAUCUUCUUCCGCAUGGAAGAAGAUUGAAAGACGGCUCUGCUGUCACUUAUAGUUGACCUUGCGGUGCAUUAGUUAGUUGGUGGGGUAACGGCCUACCAAGACGAUGAUGCAUAGCCGACCUGAGAGGGUGAUCGGCCACAUUGGGACUGAGACACGGCCCAAACUCCUACGGGAGGCAGCAGUAGGGAAUCUUCCGCAAUGGGCGAAAGCCUGACGGAGCAAUGCCGCGUGAGUGAAGAAGGCCUUCGGGUCGUAAAACUCUGUUAUAAGAGAAGAACAAAUUGUAGAGUAACUGCUACAGUCUUGACGGUAUCUUAUCAGAAAGCCACGGCUAACUACGUG
rnacentral:rRNA from 1 species